AUUUCCCUCUUUCUUUCUGCCUAACACAUGCAAGUCGAACGGCAGCACAGUAAGAGCUUGCUCUUACGGGUGGCGAGUGGCGGACGGGUGAGGAAUACAUCGGAAUCUACUUUUUCGUGGGGGAUAACGUAGGGAAACUUACGCUAAUACCGCAUACGACCUACGGGUGAAAGCAGGGGAUCUUCGGACCUUGCGCGAUUGAAUGAGCCGAUGUCGGAUUAGCUAGUUGGCGGGGUAAAGGCCCACCAAGGCGACGAUCCGUAGCUGGUCUGAGAGGAUGAUCAGCCACACUGGAACUGAGACACGGUCCAGACUCCUACGGGAGGCAGCAGUGGGGAAUAUUGGACAAUGGGCGCAAGCCUGAUCCAGCCAUACCGCGUGGGUGAAGAAGGCCUUCGGGUUGUAAAGCCCUUUUGUUGGGAAAGAAAAGCAGCAGGUUAAUACCCCGCUGUUCUGACGGUACCCAAAGAAUAAGCACCGGCUAACUUCGUG
rnacentral:rRNA from 1 species